rnacentral:rRNA from 1 species
AGUCGAGGGGUAUAUGUCUUCGGAUAUAGAGACCGGCGCACGGGUGCGUAACGCGUAUGCAAUCUACCUUUUACAGAGGGAUAGCCCAGAGAAAUUUGGAUUAAUACCUCAUAGCAUUGCAGGAUGGCAUCAUCGAGCAAUUAAAGUCACAACGGUAAAAGAUGAGCAUGCGUCCCAUUAGCUAGUUGGUAAGGUAACGGCUUACCAAGGCUACGAUGGGUAGGGGUCCUGAGAGGGAGAUCCCCCACACUGGUACUGAGACACGGACCAGACUCCUACGGGAGGCAGCAGUGAGGAAUAUUGGACAAUGGGCGCAAGCCUGAUCCAGCCAUGCCGCGUGCAGGAUGACGGUCCUAUGGAUUGUAAACUGCUUUUGUACGAGAAGAAACAUCCCUACGUGUAGGGACUUGACGGUAUCGUAAGAAUAAGGAUCGGCUAACUCCGUGCCAGCAGCCGCGGUAAUACGGAGGAUCCAAGCGUUAUCCGGAAUCAUUGGGUUUAAAGGGUCCGUAGGCGGUUUAAUAAGUCAGUGGUGAAAGCCCAUCGCUCAACGGUGGAACGGCCAUUGAUACUGUUAAACUUGAAUUAUUAGGAAGUAACUAGAAUAUGUAGUGUAGCGGUGAAAUGCUUAGAGAUUACAUGGAAUACCAAUUGCGAAGGCAGGUUACUACUAAUGGAUUGACGCUGAUGG